rnacentral:siRNA from 1 species
AGGUCCUGUUCGGCAGUAAUCGCA